UAGAGAUUAGUUAAAUUAUAAUAGUAGUUUGUCAAACUACAGUCGUCAUUGCAUCUCUUU
rnacentral:tRNA from 1 species